GGAGAAGUAUCAUUGCGCUUCUGUGAUUGC
rnacentral:piRNA from 1 species